rnacentral:rRNA from 1 species
UAGGGAAUCUUCGGCAAUGGGGGGAACCCUGACCGAGCAACGCCGCGUGAGUGAAGAAGGUUUUCGGAUCGUAAAGCUCUGUUGUUAAGGAAGAACGAGUGUGAGAAUGGAAAGUUCAUGCUGUGACGGUACUUAACCAGAAAGGGACGGCUAACUACGUGCCAGCAGCCGCGGUAAUACGUAGGUCCCGAGCGUUGUCCGGAUUUAUUGGGCGUAAAGCGAGCGCAGGCGGUUAGAAAAGUCUGAAGUGAAAGGCAGUGGCUCAACCGGGGAGGGUCAUUGGAAACUGGUUGACUUGAGUGCAGAAGAGGAGAGUGGAAUUCCAUGUGUAGCGGUGAAAUGCGUAGAUAUAUGGAGGAACACCAGUGGCGAAGGCGACUCUCUGGUCUGUAACUGACGCUGAGGCUCGAAAGCGUGGGUAGCAAACAGG